GAGGGCUUCUUCAAAAGAAGACGUAGUUGAUGAAGAUGUUCUGGAGCAGAAAGACCACGACCAAGCAGCCUGGAGAUCUGAGGCAGCGUCUCCCUCAGGGGGGUGUCAACGGUGUUCACGGUCAGACCAAAGAACUACAGACUCGUCACAACCUGCUCAAACUCUUGGUACAGGACCUCACCACACAGGUCAAGAAGGUUUCCUUCUUCUCAUUUCUACUCUGAAGCUCACCUUCUCCUGCUCAGACUGCUGACAAAUGUUUCUGCUGCUCUAAAGUCUGGCCUCCAGAACUUCCUAAAAACUCUCAAAGUCUCUUCUGCUGUAGGUUGCUUUGUAGAACUGUUCCAGAAAACCUCACUAAACCACAUGGAGGGGCCUCAAGAUAGUCGUCCAAAUGAAACUGUACAAAAACCAAACUAGCACAACCCAAAAGCUAAAGUCUCCUGCAGCCUACCAGAGAAGCUCUUUAAACAGAGAAUCAGGACAGGAACUCUUACCUUCUGGACAACCAACGUUGGUUCACAAACAAGAAUACAGAAUGUGUCUGACCAAAAACCUCUAAAGACUCACUACAGCUUACUGGAAGUCCAGAGGGCUGGCUUCUUCUUCUUCUUCUUCUUCUUCUUCUUCUUAUAACUUUCCGGCAGGCUGGAUGUUUUGCAUCACAUUGCUGCCUCUCACAGAUCAGGGUGAGAAUGCAGAAUUUAGACCAUUCCUACUUCCAAAGACGUAAUCCUGUGGAGUUGAUUAAGUGAAGGACUGCGUUCACCGUCCUUGCCUGGUUCUCUCUGGGAUUAAGGAGACUCCUCAUUGUGAUUGAUUCCAUUCCCUCAUGUGACAACUUGGCAUAUAACUCAUUUCAUUUCAUUUCAUUUAUUCUUUUCCAUGGUAAUGCGUAAAAAAAACAACAACAAAUGGAUACAAUUUAUAAAGCACAAAAUACGCACAUCCCAUGUACAAGAACAGGAGUAGGAUGAAGAAUAAGUCUUUUUAACUCCUACCCCAGUCUUUUUUUCAAACUCAAACAGAAAACAACCACAACAAAAAACAUCAGAUGGCCACAAUCAAUCUACAGAUCAAUCACAUCAUUGUUAUUGCUCCUUUGCGUAAAUGUUAAAUAUUUUUUCUUUAAACUUACAUUUAAAGUGCAAAAUGUUUGAACAUUGCUUCACUUCUUUUUCCAAGGAAUUCCAUUUUUCCACCCCCGCGACAGAUACACACAUUCCUUUAAGAGUCGUUCUUGCAGAAUUAUAUUUAAAGUCAAGAUUUCUUCUACUUGUUUCACUAUUCAAAGUAAAAAGUGUUUGCCAACCACAAGGUAGCAAGCCUCUUUUUGCUUUAUGCAUGACUAUUAAUGUUUGUAAAACAAUUAAAUCCUUCAAUUUUAAUAGUCCUGACUUCAGGAACAGUUUUGUUGUAUGCUCUUUUGAAGCGGCUUUAUUAAUUAUUCUAAGAGCCCUCUUUUGUAAAAUAACUAAGGGUAACAGAUGAGUAGGAUAUGAAUUACCCCAAACCUCCAAACAGUAUACCAAAUAUGGUAAAAUUAAAGAACAGUAUAAUAUUCUCAAUGCAUUAUCAUUUAACAAAUACUUAACUUUACUCAUCACACCUAUAUUUCUACAUAUUUUCUUCUUUACGUGUCCAAUAUGCGACUUCCAUUUCAACUUUUCGUCGAUGAAUACUCCUAAGAACUUAAAUUCAGACACUCUUUCUAUACACUGUCCAUUUAAAUUCAAGUUUACAAUUUCUGGACUUUUUUGAUUUGAAAACAACAUAAACUUUGUUUUGCUUAAAUUUAAUGAUAAUGUAUUUUUAUUAAAUCAUUUCUGAAGCAGGACCAUUUCUGUCUCAAUCGUUUUUAUUAAUGUUUUUAAAUUAUUUCCAGACACAAAAAAAUUUGUGUCAUCUGCAAAAAGGACAAAGCGCAACACUUUUGAAAAUUCACAGAGGUCAUUAAUAUAUAAAAUAAAAAGUUUGGGCCCUAAUACUGAGCCUUGUGGAACUCCACACUGAAUUGUUUCUAAUUUGGAUUGAUAACCUGCAAACUCAACAUAUUGUUGUCUAUUUUUUAAAUAACUAGCGACCCAAUCUAAUGCAAUCCCUCUAAUUCCAUAUUUCUGUAGUUUGGAUAUCAUUAUUCCAUGGUCAAGCGUAUCAAAGGCUUUUUUAAGAUCAAUAAAAACUCCAAUUGUGUGAUUCCUAUUAUCUAAUUGUGUGGUAAUGUCCUCAGUGAUUUUCAGUAAUGCCAAGGCUGUUGAGUGACGACUUCGAAAGCCAAACUGAUUUUCAUGUAACAACAAAUGUUUUUCAAUAAAAGAAUCAAGUUUUUUAACAAACAGCUUCUCCAAUAUUUUUGAAAAUUGGGACAGUAAAGAUAUUGGCCUAUAAUUUGUAAGACAUUUCCUUUCGCCUGAUUUAAAAAGAGGAAUAACCUUGGCUACCUUCAUCUUAUCUGGGAAUACCCCUGUACUGAAUGACAAAUUAAAUAUGUAGGUUAAUGGGCUUAAUAUACAAUGUAUACUUUCUUUAAUAAUGAACAUAUCUAGACCAUCACUAUCACAUGAUUUUUUACUUUUCAGUUUGAAACCAUUGCUGUGCAGUGCACAGUGCAUAACUGUGUUCUUUGUUCUUUGAAGUUGGUGAAGAUGGCUUUAAGCGGUACGAUGUCAUCACUGCUUUGGACAUGGACGCCAUGAUGAGUAGGAUCAACGUGUGGCUGGAGAACCCGGUGAAGUUUGAGAAGUCUCAUGGUGUUAAUAACACCCUGGACACAGAGAUGGUCCCGAAGUCUGACCACAAGGAGGAGGAGGAGACUCACAUCCUCACUGUGGAGGGCUUCCUGCUCCACACCUACAGGCCUUUGAUGGACGUGCUAAACCAGCGUUACUUUAUUUCCAUCCCAUAUGAAGAAUGCAAAAAGAGGAGGUUUUCUAGGAAGUACACGGUGCCAGACCCCCCCCCCCCCCCCCCCCCCCCGACCUGUUCAAUGUCCACAUCUGGACCAUGGACCUGCAGCACAAGAACAUUUGCUCACUGUGAAAGAUUACUGAGAGCAGCUUUUAGUGAUUUCUAUGCAGAACACUAUGAUGUUUGCUGAGCUGUGCACUAUUAAAUGACUUAAGAAUA